UACGUAGGGAGCGAGCGUUGUCCGAAGUUACUGGGCGUAAAGCGCGCGUAGGCGGGCUGGUAAGUCGGAGGUGAAAGGCUGGGGCUUAACCGCAGCAGUGCCUCCGAUACUGUCAGUCUUGAGGGCGGUAGGGAGAAGUGGAAUGGCUGGUGUAGCGGUGAAAUGCGUAGAUACCAGUCGGAACACCGGUGGCGAAGGCGGCUUCUUGGGCCGUUCCUGACGCUGAGGCGCGAAAGCCAGGGGAGCGAACGGG
rnacentral:rRNA from 1 species